CCCCUCGCAGGAUCACACCUGGAGAGUUUCCAGCACUCUACCAGUCUUGACUACAGGAGGGAGAGUCAAGAAAAAGCAUACCCAUUUCAUUUCUAACUUGGGCAGUGGCUAGCAAAUGGAAGGCAAUCUGCUACAAGU